CGUAGGUGCGAGCGUUGUCCGGAAUUACUGGGCGUAAAGAGCUCGUAGGUGGUUUGUCGCGUCGUCUGUGAAAUCCCGGGCGUUAACUUCGGGCGUGCAGGCGAUACGGGCGAUAACUAGAGUGCUGUAGGGGAGGACUGGAAUUCCUGGUGUAGCGGUGAAAUAGCGCAGAUAUCAGGAGGAACACCGAUGGCGAAGGCAGGUCGUCUGGGCAGUUACUGACGCUGAGGAGCGAAAGCAUGGGUAGCGACAGGAUU
rnacentral:rRNA from 1 species